rnacentral:tRNA from 1 species
GUAAUACCCAUAGGUCAGACGGCCUCCGGAGCCGUGUGUGCAGGUUCGAAUCCUGCCGGGG